GCGCACGGUGGUUUAGUGGUGAACACGUUCGCCUCACACCUCCAGGGUCCGGGGUUCGAUUCGGGCCCUGUGUGUGCG